rnacentral:rRNA from 1 species
GACGAACGCUGGCGGCGUGCUUAACACAUGCAAGUCGAACGGAAAGGCCCUGCUUUUGUGGGGUGCUCGAGUGGCGAACGGGUGAGUAACACGUGAGUAACCUGCCCUUGACUUUGGGAUAACUUCAGGAAACUGAGGCUAAUACCGGAUAGGAGCUCCUGCUGCAUGGUGGGGGUUGGAAAGUUUCGGCGGUUGGGGAUGGACUCGCGGCUUAUCAGCUUGUUGGUGGGGUAGUGGCUUACCAAGGCUUUGACGGGUAGCCGGCCUGAGAGGGUGACCGGCCACAUUGGGACUGAGAUACGGCCCAGACUCCUACGGGAGGCAGCAGUGGGGAAUAUUGCACAAUGGGCGGAAGCCUGAUGCAGAAACGCCGCGUGCGGGAUGACGGCCUUCGGGUUGUAAACCGCUUUCGCCCGUGACGAAGCGUGAGUGACGGUAAUGGGUAAAGAAGCACCGGCUAACUACGUG